rnacentral:rRNA from 1 species
UACGUAGGGUGCAAGCGUUAUCCGGAAUUAUUGGGCGUAAAGAGCUCGUAGGCGGUUUGUCGCGUCUGCUGUGAAAACCCGAGGCUCAACCUCGGGCCUGCAGUGGGUACGGGCAGACUAGAGUGCGGUAGGGGAGAUUGGAAUCCCUGGUGUAGCGGUGGAAUGCGCAGAUAUCAGGAGGAACACCGGUGGCGAAGGCGGGUCUCUGGGCCACUACUGACGCUGAGAAGCGAAAGCAUGGGGAGCGAACAGG